rnacentral:rRNA from 1 species
CACCGCCCGUCACAUCAUGAAAGCCGGUUGUACCCGAAGUCCAUGUCGGAACUGCAAAGACCUAGUGGCCGAAGGUAUGGCUGGUGAUUGGGAUG